rnacentral:rRNA from 1 species
UUGGAGGGCAAGUCUGGUGCCAGCAGCCGCGGUAAUUCCAGCUCCAAUAGCGUAUAUUAAAGUUGUUGCAGUUAAAAAGCUCGUAGUUGAAUUUCGGGAUUAGUACGUCGGUCGUGCCUUAGGUACGUACUGGUGUUACUGGUUCCUACCUUCUGACGAACCAUCAUGUCAUUAAUUUGGUGUGGUGGGGAAUCAGGACUGUUACUUUGAAAAAAUUAGAGUGUUUAAAACAGGCUCGCGCUUGAAUACAUUAGCAUGGAAUAAUGAAAUAGGACGUUGAUCCUAUUUUGUUGGUUUCUAGGAUUGACGUAAUGAUUAAUAGGGAUAGUUGGGGGCAUUAGUAUUCAAUUGUCAGAGGUGAAAUUCUUGGAUUUAUUGAAGACUAACUACUGCGAAAGCAUUUGCCAAGGAUGUUUUCAUUAAUCAAGAACGAAAGUUAGGGGAUCGAAGACGAUCAGAUACCGUCGUAGUCUUAACCAUAAACUAUGCCGAUCUAGGGAUCGGAGCGAUGUUAAUUUUAUAAUGACUCGUUCGGCGCCUUACGGGAAAC